rnacentral:rRNA from 1 species
GAUGAACGCUGGCGGCGUGCCUAAUACAUGCAAGUCGAGCGAACGGACGAGAAGCUUGCUUCUCUGAUGUUAGCGGCGGACGGGUGAGUAACACGUGGAUAACCUACCUAUAAGACUGGGAUAACUUCGGGAAACCGGAGCUAAUACCGGAUAAUAUUUUGAACCGCAUGGUUCAAAAGUGAAAGACGGUCUUGCUGUCACUUAUAGAUGGAUCCGCGCUGCAUUAGCUAGUUGGUAAGGUAACGGCUUACCAAGGCAACGAUGCAUAGCCGACCUGAGAGGGUGAUCGGCCACACUGGAACUGAGACACGGUCCAGACUCCUACGGGAGGCAGCAGUAGGGAAUCUUCCGCAAUGGGCGAAAGCCUGACGGAGCAACGCCGCGUGAGUGAUGAAGGUCUUCGGAUCGUAAAACUCUGUUAUUAGGGAAGAACAUAUGUGUAAGUAACUGUGCACAUCUUGACGGUACCUAAUCAGAAAGCCACGGCUAACUACGUGCCAGCAGCCGCGGUAAUACGUAGGUGGCAAGCGUUAUCCGGAAUUAUUGGGCGUAAAGCGCGCGUAGGCGGUUUUUUAAGUCUGAUGUGAAAGCCCACGGCUCAACCGUGGAGGGUCAUUGGAAACUGGAAAACUUGAGUGCAGAAGAGGAAAGUGGAAUUCCAUGUGUAGCGGUGAAAUGCGCAGAGAUAUGGAGGAACACCAGUGGCGAAGGCGACUUUCUGGUCUGUAACUGACGCUGAUGUGCGAAAGCGUGGGGAUCAAACAGGAUUAGAUACCCUGGUAGUCCACGCCGUAAACGAUGAGUGCUAAGUGUUAGGGGGUUUCCGCCCCUUAGUGCUGCAGCUAACGCAUUAAGCACUCCGCCUGGGGAGUACGACCGCAAGGUUGAAACUCAAAGGAAUUGACGGGGACCCGCACAAGCGGUGGAGCAUGUGGUUUAAUUCGAAGCAACGCGAAGAACCUUACCAAAUCUUGACAUCCUUUGACAACUCUAGAGAUAGAGCCUUCCCCUUCGGGGGACAAAGUGACAGGUGGUGCAUGGUUGUCGUCAGCUCGUGUCGUGAGAUGUUGGGUUAAGUCCCGCAACGAGCGCAACCCUUAAGCUUAGUUGCCAUCAUUAAGUUGGGCACUCUAAGUUGACUGCCGGUGACAAACCGGAGGAAGGUGGGGAUGACGUCAAAUCAUCAUGCCCCUUAUGAUUUGGGCUACACACGUGCUACAAUGGACAAUACAAAGGGCAGCGAAACCGCGAGGUCAAGCAAAUCCCAUAAAGUUGUUCUCAGUUCGGAUUGUAGUCUGCAACUCGACUACAUGAAGCUGGAAUCGCUAGUAAUCGUAGAUCAGCAUGCUACGGUGAAUACGUUCCCGGGUC